UUUCCAAUUCUCUUUACCUCUCUUUCUGAUUCAUUAACCUUAAUUCAGUUUUCUUAGUCUGACAUCUCUGAAACAUCCAUCUCUCUGGUCUCUGGAAUCGCCUCUCUCUCUCUCUGUCGCUCAAAAAUACUCUCUCGUUUGCCUUUUCGCACGCACACGAGCACCUCGGAAGCAAUGAUGACAAACAGCAACAAUUUAGAGAGAAGAAAACGCAAGAAAAGAGGAUACAGAGAACUAUCUAGGGUUUUAUCCCAUUUUUUUAUUUUUAUUUUUUUUGGUGUCUACCUCUUUCUCCGUCCUCCAUGGCUCCGACAGUGGAUUACAUAUCAUCGACGAGAACCGCCUGGAUUACCAAUUCAUGACACCCAAAGGCUAACGGACCACUAUCAUUACAUCAAAGAGACCAUCUUUCACAUGAAACAUCUCUACAAGCUUACCCCGUUUCUGUCUCGUUGGACCAUUGGAUCACUACCAUCACACCUUUUUCCAUACAGUAGAUAUAUCAGAAGUUACUUGAAAAUAGCAGAUGAAAGCCAAGCAACCAAGAAGAAACGAGGAAGGAAACAAAAGUUUUGUUGAAGGUUACUCCAUUCAAGAAAAACUUCCAAAAGUGAGGUAGUGGGACUUAGACUGAAAUAACUAUAUAAAAGGGCACCUAAAAGGAGAAGGAGAAGAAGAAGAAUUCAGUGUUAGACCAGAGUUUUUGCAGUGAGAUUGAAGAAAAAGUUGAGUAGAAUGAAUUUAACAAAGGCCAAGAUGAUGGGAAUGAUUCAGAUUCUUCCAAUUAUUCAAAUGAAAACCAGCAGUAGAGCAAAACCAAUUCUCUCAACACGACAUGGCGUCAAAGUUACAGGUUGCUCUCUGCCUUUUCUCUUUUUUUCUUUGUUGAGUUUCAUGUAUGUCUUAGUUAGUGAUACAUAUUUUCAAUCUCUAUUUCAUGUGUUUCUUUGAUUAAUGUGAUUUGAAAGAUUUGUUUCUUCAGGAAAAAUAAACAUAAAUGAUUAAAUAUUUUUGUCUUGCAUACUCUUUAAGCUCUUGCAAUGCUAGACUUGAAGAAAGUGAAAAAAUAAAAAUAAAAAUUGUAAUGAUAGGGAUAAUAUCUAAAUCCACAUUUGAUCAUAGGGAAAAUGAAAUAGUGGAUGAAUUUGAUUUUUGACAUGACUAUAAAUUCUCAAAUAAUGUUAAAUGUGCCUCGAAGUUUUUUUACUCUAAUAUGAUUUUAUUUUCAUUUUUAUUGUUCUGUAUUCUUGUCUAAUGGUCAUGUCUUGACAUGAAUAAAAUAGUCAUGAAAUUUAAAAUUUAUAGGUUCAUGUAUAUUUAGACAACAACGAUUAUGGGCAUGCACAUAUCCUUUUAUGAAAAAACAGCCCAAGAGUUUUUUUAUGUUGAUACCCAUACUCAAAAAGAAAAGAAAAUACUUAAAGAAGGUGAAUAUUAUUUCCUAACUAAAAUUAACAAAGUCCAGGCAUUCUUAGUAUAUAUUAUGAUAACGUCGCAAAUCAUUCAUGAACCUGAUAUUUUUAAUACUUUACUCUUGUUACUUUAAUUGCACAUUUCUUCCUCAUUAUCGUUCUUGUAUUUUCUUUGCUUUUAUGCUUUUAAUGUUUUAAAAAACAGACUCAUUCUUUGUUUGUAAUUUGUAUAUAUGUGCAAGAAUGCAAUUGAUAGGUGGUGGUUCUAAAAAUAUGUAGGCCUCAAUAGUGCAUCAAAACUCUUGGUAUGUCUUCUUUGUUUGGUGUCAUUGAUGUUACUCAAUUUUUACAUUUUUCUUUUUUAAUUAAGAUGUUAAAUAAAAAUAUUGCUGCUUUUUUUUUUUUUUUGCUUGUCCUUUUAGAACAUCCCUCCCAAGUUUCAUUCAAUGAUGUGAAAUCCAAGAAAACAAGUUGUGUGUUUGGAAAGUGAUUCUCGAAUUUGGGACCUAGUAUUUCAGGACUAACAAUUUAUCUUUUUGCUUUUGAGCAUAAGCAACCAGAAAAUUUGUAGUCGUUGGUCUUUGGGUAUCGUUUUGUCGGCUACAUAUUUUGUACAGGCCAAUCACAGUUCAACGCGUGGCAGGAUGAGGGUAAUGCAGGAAGACAAUUCAAAUAUUCAAUCGUAAUCAGACACAUGGCAGUUAGUAUUGGUUAUUGUGGAUCUGUAUAGCACUGGAUCAGUAAAGAGAUGCAAGAUGACGUGGCUUUAACAGUUACUCGUAUAUUUAAAUUCAAAAUCAAGAGGGAAGCCUAACUGCAGACAUGGCGUAGUGGAGCUAACUGUGAGGAAACAUGAUCAGUGAUCAUGGAGGGAUGAUUCAACGGUUAGAAACUCAUUUCGACGGUUAUCAUUGAGAAGUAUAAAUAGUAGAGAAGGCCCCAGAAAGAGGCCCCAGACUCAGAUCCAAAGAACCAAUUUUUAUCUACUUUAUUUCCCUUCCAGUUUACAUUUCUUGUUCAUUACAUUUUCUGUACUUGAAAUUCCUACACUGCACUUCGUUCAUAGGAGUAGUUUUAAGUAAUUUGUUGCAGCAAACCUCUACGAGGCUGUAAUUUGUUGUUGCAAACCUCUACGAGGCUGAAUUGGAUCAUUGUAAGUUCUUCAUUUUUAC